AUUGAACGCUGGCGGCAUGCUUUACACAUGCAAGUCGAACGGCAGCGCGGGCUUCGGCCUGGCGGCGAGUGGCGAACGGGUGAGUAAUGCAUCGGAACGUGCCCAGUAGUGGGGGAUAGCCCGGCGAAAGCCGGAUUAAUACCGCAUACGACCUGAGGGUGAAAGCGGGGGACCGAAAGGCCUCGCGCUAUUGGAGCGGCCGAUGUCGGAUUAGCUAGUUGGUGGGGUAAAGGCUUACCAAGGCGACGAUCCGUAGCUGGUCUGAGAGGACGACCAGCCACACUGGGACUGAGACACGGCCCAGACUCCUACGGGAGGCAGCAGUGGGGAAUUUUGGACAAUGGGGGCAACCCUGAACCAGCCAUGCCGCGUGCGGGAAGAAGGCCUUCGGGUUGUAAACCGCUUUUGUUCGGGAAGAAAUACUCUGGGCUAAUACCCCGGGGGGAUGACGGUACCGGAAGAAUAAGCACCGGCUAACUACGUG
rnacentral:rRNA from 1 species